AUAAAAGAUAGAGGCGCGUCUUUAAACAGUAGCAGGAUGAAGGUUGCCGCAACCGUUGAGAGCUUGUGAAAGGUAAAGUCGCCGAAGGGAAUGCCUGGCAAGCGUUUACCUGGUCAUAAGCUGCGAACAGCAGUAUGACUGUCAUCAUACAAUGUGAUGGAGUGCUAUCUGAUGA
rnacentral:ncRNA from 1 species